CGGGCGUCUUAACAUGCAAGUCGAGCGGCAGGCAGCAAUGCCGAGAGCGGCGGACUGGUGAGUAACACGUGGGUAACGUACCCCGAUGUCCGGGACAGCCUGUAGAAAUAGAGGGUAAUACCGGAUAGAUCACUGACUACGGGAGGUAGACAGCGGGAAAGGAGCUUCGGCUCCGCGCCGGGAACGGUCUGCGGCCCAUCAGCUGGACGGCGGGGUAAAGGCCCGCCGUGGCGAGGACGGGUAUCCGGCCUGAGAGGGCGGACGGACACAUUGGGACUGAGAUACGGCCCAGACUCCUACGGGAGGCAGCAGGUAAGAAUAUUCCGCAAUGGGGGGAACCCUGACGGAGCGACGCCGCGUGAACGAAGAAGGCCGGAAGGUUGUAAAGUUCUUUUCUGUCCGAGGAAUAAGUGUAGGGGGAAAUGCCUGCAUGGUGACGGUAGGGCAGGAAUAAGCACCGGCUAAU
rnacentral:rRNA from 1 species